rnacentral:lncRNA from 1 species
CAAAGGAGGCACCCCCCUACUGAAAGAGCUUUCUGCUUUAUGAUUCCAGGUGUCCGAUGCUAUCACUAGACCAGGGAAGUGGUGAGCUGCCUGUCUCGAGGGAUGAACCAGCAGAACUGGAAGGGGGUGGAUCACUGUGCCGUGGAAAGAUUAAGGACCAGGGUGGGCUCAAUGAGCCGUGGGCGUCUGUCCCCCUUGGGAUUAGCACCGCUGGGUCUCUGUCAGCAUUCGUGACACACGGCUGGGAGCUGCUUCCCCUGGUGAUAUCCAGUUGUGCCCGAGUGGGGGCCGGCCAUCAGCUCACCGACCAACAUCAGAGAGCAUCCCCCAGCCUGGCUGAGCCUGUCACCUGCAGCAGCCCCACGAUGAAUCUUGCAGGACUGGGGAGAACCCCUGGAGGCCGGUGAGUCUGGGGAGGAGCGCUCGUACCUUGUCCUUGGCAGGACAAACUAAGCCAACGGCACCCCAAGUGGGCUGUGGGUGUGGAUACCGCUGGUACAUUAUGGGAGCUUGUCCUGGGUCAAGCUGAGAGGGGACACUGAGAAUCGCCUAUGUCUGUGGUAUAUGACAACAAAGGGAAAGGACUGAUUUUUUUUCAGUAUUUUUCAGUUUUGGGGUUUUUAUGGAGGCUUGAUGUAGGAAUAAUUGAUUAAGCCACUGGCCACUGGGGAAGUAGGGGGGAUGGGGCAGAAAAUUCCAAUCCUCUCUUCGUGCUGGUGUCCUUGGCCACCAGUGCCCAUCCUGGGGUUAUCUAGGGGCCUUCCAAAUGUCACCUCAUUAACAUAAACUCAGGUGGAAAGGGGCUUGUUAUUGGGGUGCCUGGGUAGCUCAGUGGGUUAAGCGUCCUACUCUUGAUUUCGGUUUAGGUCAUGAUCUCACAGUUCAUGAGUUCGAACCUCACAUCAGGCUCUGUGCUGACAGUGCAGAGCCUACUUGGGAUUCUCUCCCUCCCUCUCCCUCUGCCCCUGCUGUGCUCUCUCUCUCUCUCUCUCUCUCUCUCAAAAUAAGUAAAAUAAAUUGUUUUUUUAAAGAAAGGGGCUUGUUAUGAAAAACAAAAACACUAUUUUCGUCUUUACUACUGUGGAGCACUUUGAGGGGACAAA